rnacentral:rRNA from 1 species
UACGAAGGGGGCUAGCGUUGCUCGGAAUCACUGGGCGUAAAGGGUGCGUAGGCGGGUCUUUAAGUCAGGGGUGAAAUCCUGGAGCUCAACUCCAGAACUGCCUUUGAUACUGAAGAUCUUGAGUUCGGGAGAGGUGAGUGGAACUGCGAGUGUAGAGGUGAAAUUCGUAGAUAUUCGCAAGAACACCAGUGGCGAAGGCGGCUCACUGGCCCGAUACUGACGCUGAGGCACGAAAGCGUGGGGAGCAAACAGGAUUAGAAACCCCAGA